rnacentral:rRNA from 1 species
UAACACAUGCAAGUCGAACGAGACCUUCGGGUCUAGUGGCGCACGGGUGCGUAACGCGUGGGAAUCUGCCCUUAGGUUCGGAAUAACAGUGGGAAACUACUGCUAAUACCGGAUGAUGACGUAAGUCCAAAGAUUUAUCGCCUAGGGAUGAGCCCGCGUAGGAUUAGCUAGUUGGUGGGGUAAAGGCCUACCAAGGCGACGAUCCUUAGCUGGUCUGAGAGGAUGAUCAGCCACACUGGGACUGAGACACGGCCCAGACUCCUACGGGAGGCAGCAGUGGGGAAUAUUGGACAAUGGGCGAAAGCCUGAUCCAGCAAUGCCGCGUGAGUGAUGAAGGCCUUAGGGUUGUAAAGCUCUUUUACCCGGGAAGAUAAUGACUGUACCGGGAGAAUAAGCCCCGGCUAACUCCGUGCCAGCAGCCGCGGUAAUACGGAGGGGGCUAGCGUUGUUCGGAAUUACUGGGCGUAAAGCGUACGUAGGCGGCUUUUUAAGUUAGAGGUGAAAGCCCGGGGCUCAACUCCGGAAUUGCCUUUAAGACUGGAUCGCUUGAACGUCGGAGAGGUGAAUGGAAUUCCGAGUGUAGAGGUGAAAUUCGUAGAUAUUCGGAAGAACACCAGUGGCGAAGGCGGCUCACUGGACGACUGUUGACGCUGAGGUACGAAAGCGUGGGGAGCAAA